CCAAGAGAAAGAGUGAAGCUGCCAGCAUGAUCUAACCUGUGUGGUGGUGUGCAAGCAAUGCCAGUGCUUGUUCAUCUUCAUGGAAAAGGCAGCUUAGUUUGCUGGUUUUUCGAAUGGGCAUCCAUGGAAUGGAACGCACAUGGCAUGGUGUCGUUGCUGCGCGAGGCCUGUGAGUGAUGGUUAGAUCAUGCUGUCACAGUUUCACUCUUUCCCUUU
rnacentral:pre_miRNA from 1 species